GUAGUCCACGCUGUAAACGAUGAGGACUAGAUAUCUGUUAGCAGAAGCUGAUGGGUGUCGAAGCAAACGCGAUAAGUUCUCCGCCUGGGGAGUACGGCCGCAAGGUUAAAACUCAAAGGAAUUGACGGGGGCCUGCACAAGCGGUGGAGCAUGUGGUUUAAUUCGAUGCAACGCGAAAAACCUUACCUACCCUUGACAUGCUUGGGAGCUUUAAGAGAUUAGAGUGUGCCGAAAGGAACCAAGAGACAGGUGCUGCAUGGCUGUCGUCAGCUCGUGUCGUGAGAUGUUGGGUUAAGUCCCGUAACGAGCGCAACCCUUGUUACUAGUUGCCAGCGGGUAAAGCCGGGGACUCUAGUAAGACUGCCAGUGAUAAGCUGGA
rnacentral:rRNA from 1 species